rnacentral:rRNA from 1 species
CCUACGGGGCGCAGCAGUGGGGAAUAUUGGACAAUGGGGGGAACCCUGAUCCAGCGACGCCGCGUGAGUGAAGAAGUAUUUCGGUAUGUAAAGCUCUAUCAGCAGGGAAGAAAGAAAUGACGGUACCUGACUAAGAAGCCCCGGCUAGCUACGUGCCAGCAGCCGCGGUAAUACGUAGGGGGCAAGCGUUAUCCGGAUUUACUGGGUGUAAAGGGAGCGUAGACGGUUACGCAAGUCUGGAGUGAAAGGCGGGGGCCCAACCCCCGGACUGCUUUGGAAACUGUGUAGCUAGAGGGCUGGAGAGG